rnacentral:rRNA from 1 species
UACGGGGGGGGGCAAGCGUUGUUCGGAAUUACUGGGCGUAAAGGGCUCGUAGGUGGCCAACUAAGUCAGACGUGAAAUCCCUCGGCUUAACCGGGGAACUGCGUCUGAUACUGGAUGGCUUGAGGUUGGGAGAGGGAUGCGGAAUUCCAGGUGUAGCGGUGAAAUGCGUAGAUAUCUGGAGGAACACCGGUGGCGAAGGCGGCGAUCCUGGACCAAUUCUGACACUGAGUGAGCGAAAGCCAGGGGAGCAAACGGGG